rnacentral:rRNA from 1 species
UAAAACGUAGGAGGCAAGCGUUAUCCGGAUUUAUUGGGCGUAAAGCGCGUGUAGGCGGUUUAGUAAGUCGGACGUGAAAGUUCCCGGCUCAACUGGGAGAUGCCGUUCGAGACUGCUAGACUAGAGGGCAGCAGAGGGAGGUGGAAUUCUGGGUGUAGCGGUGAAAUGCGUAGAUAUCCAGAGGAACACCAGUGGCGAAGGCGGCCUCCUGGACUGUCCCUGACGCUCAGACGCGAAAGCUAGGGUAGCAAACGGGAUUAGAAACCCCGGUAGUCCUAGCUGUAAACGAUGCAGACUUGGCGUUGGUGGUUUAAUAGCCAUCAGUGCCGUAGCUAACGCGAUAAGUCUGCCGCCUGGGGACUACGGCCGCAAGGCUA